AUAGGAAUCAUCAGGACAGCCCUUCCCAAUAUGUCCAGAGAAGCCAAGGAGGAGUACCAUGUGGUGAUCCAGGCUAAGGACAUGGGUGGACACAUGGGUGUACUCUCAGGGACAACCAGUGUGACGAUCACUCUGACUGAUGUCAACGACAACUCAGCAAAGUUUCCACAGAGCAUGUACCAGAUGUCUGUUUCAGAAGCAGCUGUCCCUGGGGGAGGAAGUAGGAAGGGUGAAGGCUGAAGACCCAGACAUUGGAGAAAAUGGCUUAGUCACAUACAAUAUCGUUGAUGGAGCUGGCAUAGAACUGUUUGAAAUCACAACAGACUAUGAAACACUAUGUUGCUGCUGCUGCUGCUGCCGCCGCUGCUGAAACAGGCCUUCCUCACUCUCAGGGAAGCUUCUUACCUGCCAGGCUUUCCUGCCCUUCGGCCGUGUGUCAGUGGAACUCUUCCGGGUCACAGUAAUUCUCUGUUAAUAAAAGUUUCUCACCAUGUGGGCAUUCAACAUUAGGGCAGGAAGGGGAUGCCUUUGGUUUCAUCAGUGGUGGUGUGAAAGACCCACAAUGUGAGGAUUCCCCCACGUUCUGACUCAGGAGAGGCGACACCCCAAAAUCACCCACAAUAAACGGUCUUGCUGCAAAUUGCAAGAGGAUUUUUAUUCAAGAGCGCUCUCGGGCCCAUGGUCAUACACCACGCAGGGGUAGAGGACCGUGGCGCCCCAAGUAGCUGGAUUAGGGGGUAUUUAAAGGAAGAAACCACGACUUAAGGAGGUGGGAAGGGCGUUGUUGGAAAAUACC
rnacentral:lncRNA from 1 species